AGUGAACGCUGGCGGUAGGCCUAACACAUGCAAGUCGAACGGCAGCACAGUAAGAGCUUGCUCUUACGGGUGGCGAGUGGCGGACGGGUGAGGAAUACAUCGGAAUCUACUUUUUCGUGGGGGAUAACGUAGGGAAACUUACGCUAAUACCGCAUACGACCUACGGGUGAAAGCAGGGGAUCUUCGGACCUUGCGCGACUGAAUGAGACGAUGUCGGAUUAGCUAGUUGGCGGGGUAAAGGCCCACCAAGGCAACGAUCCGUAGCUGGUCUGAGAGGAUGAUCGCCCACACUGGAACUGAGCAACGGUCCAGACUCCGACGGGAGGCAGCAGUGGGGAAUAUUGAGCAAGGGGCGAAAGCCUGACCGAGCAAUGCCGCGUGAGUGAAGAAGGCCUUCGGAUUGUAAAACUUUUUUGUUGGGAAAGAAAAAACGUGGAUUAACCCCCCGUUGUUUUGACGGUACCAAAAAAGAAGGCCCGGGCUAACUUCGUG
rnacentral:rRNA from 1 species